ACGGAACCUGCCUCUCCUGGGGCGGGCUGGUGGAACCAGAGAGCGGCUGCAUCUCACGCCGAACGUCCGGCAUGGCAAAGCUUGGAAUGUGCUAGUCCUGGUUUGGCUGAGCUGGGCUGCCAGGCCUGGCCCAGAGCGGCUGCAGGCCAACAAGGCGAUGGCACGGCGCCCCGGGAUGGAAGUGAGCCCUUCGCCUUCAGGUCUCCUUUAUCUCACAGAACGUUCCUCAGGUGUCCGGUUCCUGCGUGCGUUACCACACUGGCGGUCUGUGGUGCUGCUUGUAGAAGGGCUCUUCCUACCUUUCUUGGACCCAUCUCCCAGCUUUUGUUCAUAUCUGAUCCAGGAGGCACCAAUCAGCUUCUUUACGGACCGAGGAAAAUAGUUUAGCGGUUUAGGCAUGAACCUCUGUACGAGCAGACGCAGUUCCCAUGAAUUCUCUUCCUCUGUAACAGACUCGAAUGUGGGACACACCAGAUUAUCCCCCCAGGUGAGACGUCUUUCAUCCAGGGCUCCCUCUAAUACCAACGGAGGGAGACUGACCCUUCUCUCUUGACCGAACCAUUAUCAGUCCCUACGACAAAUUCUGAUUUACUUUGAGGCUGCGGUGCUCGGGAGCUGUGGCUGCCACCCAGAUCCUCGGCUGGGCAGCAUCGCACGGACCCAGAAUGAAGAGUCUUGGUAAGAGCAUAACAAGGGAGGCAACGUGUAGAGGCAGAUGUAUCAUCAUCAGGGAACUGAAGAGAAAUGCUGAGAUCAGCGCAUUAACCAGAAAUAUCAGUACAUGAUCAGCUCACCCAGAUUUCUUUGGAGGCCUCACAGCAGAAGAAGCUGUUGCAGAUUUCCCACUGAAAAUUGCAAGGCUUCGGAUAAUACCAACAACAUAUCAGUGGUGUGGAUGAGAAGGAAUCCAGCUUUCCCGAUUCGUUCCUGCUCCCUGAUGCUGCCUCUCAGGAAAAACGAGUUUGAGUCCCGUCCUCUCUGCGGGAGCUGGGGACGUUUAUGAACGGGCACGCGUGGCGCUCGCUCUGCCCCACCUUUGCUAAUGAUUCC